UGCGAUAGGGUGACUCUAAGUGCGCAGGCAUAGAGCCUGCGCUUUUCUGUACCGUAAGGUGGUACAAGAAUAAGGGCUGGGCAAGACCGGUGCCAGCCGCCGCGGUAACACCGGCAGCCCGAGUGAUAGCCGAUUUUAUUGGGCCUAAAGGGUCCGUAGCUGGCCAAGCAAGUCCGUUGGGAAAUCUGCGCGCUCAACGCGCAGGCGUCCGGCGGAUACUGCUCGGCUUGGGACCAGGAGACUUGAGGGGUACGUCCGGGGUAGGAGUGAAAUCCUGUAAUCCUGGACGGACCACCGAUGGCGAAAGCACCUCAAGAGACUGGAUCCGACAGUGAGGGACGAAAGCUAGGGUCUCGAACCGGAUUAGAUACCCGGGUAGUCCUAGCUGUAAACGAUGCCUGUUAGAUGUAGCGCAGACUACGAGUCUGCGCUGUGUCGAAGUGAAGACGAUAAACAGGCCGCCUGGGAAGUAC
rnacentral:rRNA from 1 species